UGCUACAGAUAGCCCUGCCCCACUCACACAUAAGCUUCAAGUGAAGAUGUUCUUUAAGCACAUUAGUGAUCCAAAGAACAUUUUUGCCACUGUAUGGUGGAUUUAAACUAAAUGAAUGUUUAUUUGUCAUACUUAGUGUGUAGGAGGAUGGGAUUAAGCUGCAUAAUGAGCUAAGAUGCAGCAUUUCUGUUUUAUUUUUUUAGCUGGUCCCAGUGUGUGACUGGAGAUUUGAAAAAUGUCUUUCUUGGUCAGUGAACUUCAAACACAGGUUAGGUUUUCAGUGAGAACUGACGCACUUUGGUGUGUUUGAAAAGUGUUUUUUUUCCUUUUUUUUUUUUUUUUUUUAGGUAACAAAGUUAUAUCAAGAUAUAAAUGCUGCAUUUCUUUCAACUCUCUUCUACCAACAGGGAACAUAGGAGCAAAGAAUAAAACAUUCUGGAAGCUGGAAAAACAGGGCAGUUAAAAGCACCACCAGUUCUGAAUCCCUCUAGAAACUGUGCUUCAUCUUCUGUCUAUCACAAUGACUGCAACUUUUCCUUACCUACACCUUCCUCUUCAAGAUCUAUCUUAAAAUGAAAAAAGGAGAAUGAAGAUAAACUUUAUGAAAUAAAGUCAAUAUGAGAACAUCUUUAAAGAACUGAAAGGAGAAUCAAGCUUCACAGUCUUCUGGCAGGUUAAAGGAUGACAGACAUUCCCUCUACUGGAGCUGUUUCCCCUCAUGCUGCUAAUGAAGAUGUGAUGCAGUGAGGUAACCACAGGACACUUGUGCCUUGAAUGCAAACAUCAGCCUAUGCUAUAUGCAAGCUAGCAAAUACCAGAAAGAAUUAGGAAAAGAGAGGUUUUGGUGUGUGUGGAAAGAAGCUUUCAAAUAGCAUGUUUGCAGCAGCAGGGGCUCAGCCUUGCUUUGUUUCUGUAGCCCUUGAGAAGGCUGAGCACCCACUGAUCCUACUGGUUGCCUUGGGAAUUGAAGAUGCUCAGUGUUUCCCAGAUGAGAGGUGAGUUUGGUUUUCCCAGUAGGGUUGAGUCAGUGAACUCUGAGCUUCCCGUGCAGGAGAGAAUAAACGCACACUCCUCUAGCUGUCCUAUUCCCCUGUAUUAAUUACCCCUGUCAUAGGGAAGUACCCUCCUGGCAUACCUCCAGUUAUGCUCUCCCAGUCGCCUCCUGUGGCAGCCAGGGAGAAAUGCUGCUUGGAGCUUAUUCAUUGCUGGAAUGCAGUUAGCGUGUAGUAAAACCUGGAUUUUGCCAGUCAGUGAUUUCUCUGCUCACAGGCAUGGUUUUACUUGGACAUAGAAGCAUGCUGGCACUGGAGGAGUGAAGUUGCUGUGCAUGUGCUAAGUGACCAAUUUGUGUAACAAAGAAAAAUAACGAAGUGCCUUUGGUGAAGGCCAUUAUAAGGAAAUCUAUAUAUGAAUUGCUAUCCUUUAUUUUAAGACCAUUUUGGACGCUGUCCAGGAUAGCAGACAAAUUUGACCAAGUUUGCUCAACUGCAUAAAUAAGGAAGGAUUUUAUACCCAAGAACAGAUGAGCAGCAGAGGUUCGGUAUGUGGUUUAAGCCCAGAUCAUUUGCUGCUGCCCUCCCCACAGUUCCCUCUCUGUCUGCCAAGUUUAUCGACUUA